UCCCAGAACCAAGGAACUUUUAUAGCAAUAUUUCAUCUUGCCAAAACAUAACUAAUUCACACUAACCUAUUCAGGGCAAAAAUAGAAAAGAGGUAAAAAUAGCUUCUAAGUAGCCAAAUAGGUGUCAAAGAGUCACAAAUUCCAGCUGGAAUGGGUAGUCGUGUGUGCGAUGUCACUCCGGCUUGGGCUGGAAUCUCACGUACUUGUAAGAGACAGCUUUGUUAGCCUGUCCAAUCUCACUUUGCUUACAGUUCUAACUAGCUUGGUAUCCUAGUCACUAUUUCCACAAAUGACAAGGGGAAGGAAGCCACUCAAGGAAGCCACACUGCCAGCUCAAACCAGAAGGGGGACCACAGACGGCAACAAAAACAACACAGCAGAAACAACAACCCAAAACCUUUUUUUUAAAAUGUCCCAAACAUGCAAAAGAAUACUGGUAUUUUACCGACUCUGUGGAACAGGAAAAGAACGGAGGUUCACAGCCAGAAAGAAUUGUCGCAAUCACGUUCGGAGUGCUCUUUCCAAGGCGUGGAGAUGAAGGAUUUGUUUUUUGCUGUUGUAUCUUUUCACGCAGUAUUGAUUCAGUACCAUUGUUCUUGUUGCGCAAUAUUUUGGAGAGAUUUCCCAAUAUGUAGGUUUCGAAUGAUGAAAACGAUCCUAAAAUCUCUGGGGAACAUCACUGUCCAAACAACUGGUUUCCAUGGAGUUUUAGCCGAGAAGUUUCAUCCAGCAAAUUGGUUGGGUAACCACAGAGAAUGAUUUCUCUGCCUCUCUGCACGAGGGGGUGAUGCUGACCAGACUUCGCCUGUAAACCAGGGCGGUGGUGCUCCAUUUCGUGAGUACACGGGGACAGUCACCGGCCAUCCUUGCACAGUGAUGCGUUAAGUCAGAAACUGCCACCUGGAUCAAGAUCUAGAACGUUUCCAGCGCCCCAUGCUCCUUCUCAGUCUAUUAUCAUCCACCCGCCCGUAAGAGAGCUUGGCAGGAAAGCCACCGAGGUCAUUCUGCUAAAGCGGGGAGGCUAAGAUGUGCUGAGGUGAAGUCUCCGACCCCGAGUCCUGGCGGACCUUAGUGGCAAAACUGAAGGGUGAUUUAACAAGAAGCUUUAAGAACAACAAUAUAUAUUAAUGGCAAAUGGGCUCCCAGUAUUGAGAUCUGUUUAAGUGUUUUUGAUUCUUUAAGCUCACAUAAUGAAGGUACUAAACUAACAAAUAAAUAACUGUUCUUGGAAGAAAACCCCACAUCAGAGUAAAUAUUAACAAAGGAUCUGGUUAUGACACACAUUGAACUUCAGGUAAUUAUGUUCUUUAUUUUGAAAAAAAGUUCAAAAUGCCGCAUAGAUGCUCAGUCCAGGAAGGACAAGGCUUUACAAUUUACAUUGUUCAUGGGAUGCUGUGACAAUAAACAGAAUUGCUCUUCUGGAAGCAUCUGUUAAGCCAAUUACAUGGCAAAUUUUCAAGCUCUAGAAUGGGUAGGUUUGCAAUUGGUGAAAACUUUGAUAACCAAGAGAAGACAGGAUCUAGAGAAGAGAGCAGGUGAUAAACAGAAUCCUGAUGGUGUCUAUGUUUUAAUGCAACCUGGAAAUUAGACACUUUUACAUGCAAUAUUUUUUUUUCACAUAACAGUUCCCAAAUAAACAGUUAAAGUGGUUUUAGGUGAUUAAAGCAAUAUAGAAGAUUAGUUUUGUUAUGUAUAAUCACCUUUGCUUCUCCUUUAUUGAUGAAAAGAACUCUUCUCAGCGGGUUGUGUUAUCUAUUUUAGAUGUUGCCUGAUCUUGUUUUUUAAAUGUAAAUCAGCUUUUUAAUCUUUUUUUAUGUAAAUUUGAUAGCCCGUACCAGCAAUUAUUCUGCUUUGUUGCAGCUCCCUCUUUAGAACUGUCUCUGUUUUAUGUUUAAUUGUCCUAAUUGUCCAAAUUUGAAUAAACCUGGAGAACAGCAA